rnacentral:rRNA from 1 species
UACGUAGGUGGCAAGCGUUGUCCGGAAUUAUUGGGCGUAAAGCGCGCGCAGGCGGUCCUUUAAGUCUGAUGUGAAAGCCCUCGGCUCAACCGAGGAGGGUCAUUGGAAACUGGAGGACUUGAGUGCAGAAGAGGAGAGUGGAAUUCCUGGUGUAGCGGUGAAAUGCGCAGAUAUCAGGAAGAACACCCGUGGCUAAGGCGGCUCUCUAGUACGGUACUGACGCUGAGACGCGAAAGCGUGGGGAGCGAACAGG